rnacentral:lncRNA from 1 species
ACUCUGAUGAACUCCUUCUCCAGCUCCCUGGACGCCCGAGUAUCUCUUUCUCGCAACUUUGUCAACGCGACUUUCUCCGCUGUCAGGCUGCGCAAAAGUAUCCUAGCGCCUCGCAGGCUGCAACAAUGGAAACAAUGUCCCUUCAAAGUGCGACGAAGUGGAGGGAGAAGGUGUCAUACCAGCGACUCCAAGAGUCAUGUCACCCACUUAGCAGGAGUACUUCUACUGAAAUGCCUUCGAAUUUCUCUUACUGGAUAUAUACCUACCAGCCGCUAGCAUGAAGAUGCCAGGACCGCUGCAAGUUAGCACUGGACAAAGUAGCAUCAACUUCUUCAUUUAGAGUUUCUUCAGUUAAAUUGCUGGGAUUUUCGACAAGGCUUUCCUUAUGUGGAUUAUUGGAGUGUGAUGCCCGAGAAUUCUCUACUUGUAGAAGCACGCCCACGGGACUGCAGAAGCCUUCACACCCACCCAGCACGCUCAGGGUUGAUGGCCUAACACUGGCUUAACACUCAUGUCGGCUGCACUAAUUGAAGUCACAUCCAAGUGGGUCAAUGCACUGAACAUAUCUGAUAUAGAAGGUCCCAGAUCCUGAAUUUUUAUCAAUGGUUUGCUGUAUAAGGCUUGCCUCCCAAAUAGCUGAGGACCCUUAUUUGGGAAGAUACGUUCUGAUGGUUAAGCAACAGCACAGAUGUCGAUGGGAAUGAGUGAUGGCCAUCCAGUGACCAGCUGGAUCUGACUGCCUUACAAGACGCAUGUGUAUGAUUAAGAGAGAGACAUUCGUGACUCCCAGAUGUACCUCCUUCCUGUCCCACAGUGUUCCUGAAGGGAGUGAGUUAUGGGGUAACUUAUAACACAGCAGGCUCUUCCUCAAGAUAGCUCUUGUCAAAACAGGAAGACGAAACUCGGGUUUCCAUGAGGAGACCACAGCUUGGGAUCCUGUCUGGAUGUACAAGCAGAAGCAUCUUCAUACUUUUCCAUUUCUAACCAUCAUGCCUCACCCCACCCUCCCAAGGCGACAUCUGCAGAGAGGAGAAUGAGGAGGAAGAGGAGGAGAAAGAGGAGGAGGAAGUAAGACAGAGGGGGACAAGAGGACCAAGAGGGCACAUGGCUGAGGAGGAGGAGAACAACAACAACAACAACAACAACAACAACAACAAGAAGCUUGGUGUUUUCAGGAUGUGUUCCUGAGUCUCGUGAGUAGCACAUGGCAGUUGUUGUCACCUUGGGCUGAGCCGUGAAGAUUCUCACCCUCCCUUGUUGGGGAUGAACUCCGGGAUUCUAAGGAGAGGUCAGCAGGUGUUUCACAGACUGUUCCUGUUGGAGGAUUUGUCUGAUACUCUUCUCCUGAUUAGUCUGGGCUCUACAUUUCCCCAAGGGUGAAACUUGGAAGCCCUCUCCAGGAUGCAGCAGGUAGCUGAGGAGAAAACGAAGACUGACCAGCCCAGAGCUCAGAGCUUCCUCCCAUGCUCAGGAUUUACCACCAAUGCCAUUACAUCGGCCUCUUCUUGUAUGCCUCUGGAAACCACAUGUGUCCUCUGUUUGUAAUGGUUUGGCUAUGGUUGCUGGCCCCUCUUGGACAUUGUUUUCAGAACUUAAAGAAACAUUGCUUUAAAGAUUUAUUAGAACAUAUUUAAAAUAAAACCAUCUUCUCAUUUAGUAUGCAAUUGAUUCUUCCCAUUUCCUCAGUCAAAACUCAUUGAUCAAAUUUAUUUGAGAAAUCCAGACAUGUAUAUAGCGUAUUGGGGUUAUUCCCAUCCUCCCCCAUAUUCUCUUAUCUCCCUUCCAGCCCUGACGCCCUCAGUCCUCCCUAUGGGCCUAUUCACACAAUCAUGUCUUUUUGUUUUAUGAACCAUUGAUUUUAACCGGGGCCAUCUGUGUUGCCAUGGCUUUAGAAUUAUCUACUGGAACUGGUUGGCUCAAAAUAGACAAAGACUUUCCCUUCCCCCAAGUCCAUCAUAGCUAGGAAUUCAGUCCCUCCGGUCCCCUCCCCAAUUCAUAAUUGACUGUUAGAAAGCCUAGUUUAAUGCAGGCCCUGUGUAGGUACCCAUAGCUACUGUGAGGUCACACCUGAAGAUGUGAAGCCCUUUUCCCUGUCUUCCAUUUCCACUUCUGUGUUCCCUGAGCCCUAGAUGGGAUAGUAUGAAUGUUCUGAUAAUCCGACCAAGUGGUAGUAUAUGUGUUCACUUAGAUAAAACAAAGACAAUACCAAUAGGAAAUGUAUUAUAAGCCCUGCACAUGCUAAAAAUAUAUGUAGCAAAUAACAUUAUUAUAUAAAUUCAGGGUCAUUGCUCUAUGUCAAUGUCAGUGACGUAUCAGUUUCAAAGGAUUUAUAUCACUGUUAAGUUAGAAAUAAUCCACUCUUGCUUGUUGUACAGUGCAUUUGUCCAGAUAGCCUACAAAAA